GGGGUUGUGGCUCAGUGGUGGAGCGCUUGCCUAGCAUGCAUGAGGCACUGAGUUCAAUUCUUAGCACCACA
rnacentral:tRNA from 1 species